rnacentral:lncRNA from 1 species
AUGGGGGAUGCUGGCAGAGGUCACUGCCCGCACAGAGCUGAGCCAAGCUCCCCAGCAAACUGCUCCUUGGCAAAGGGUCUGGGCGCACCUGAGGGUGCAAAUCCCCUCUGCAAGGCACCUCCACACCUCGUGCUGGUUGGUUUUGAGGCCAAAAGAGGAUGCGAGACCUCCCCAAACAGCAAAGGAAGGUGCAGCGACGCUCCGAGCAGCAUCCCUGGCAGCUUUCCCCAAAAAACAUGUACUCUGUGCAGAAUUCAGGCUCAAAAGGGGUUCAGCCCCCCUCCUCCCCUAGAGCACACAGGGUGCAAACGUGUCACCCCGGCCACACCUGGGAGCAGGCAGCAAGAACCCAGGUCCCCAGGGCAGCACGCUGCGCCGUGCCACGGCGCGGGGACGUCCCCGCUGCAGCUGGAAGGAUGCUCCACGAUCCCGCGGGCCAAGACGAAACCUCGGCUCAUCAAAAGCAGCCGAGGAGAACAAGGCAGAGCUAUUUCCAGAGCGUCUCUGCUAGGAAAACAGAAGUCACUUCAUCAUAACGGCAGUUCCUCUCUGCGGCGUGACAAUCCUAUUUAUACAGCCGGAACGUCGCCUUCAGUCACUUCACCGGCUCAAAUGCCUCCCUUGGGAUUUUUCUCCCCAUUCAGAGCCUACGGAGAGCAUUCAGAGGGUAGGAAGUGCUUCGAGAGGAAGAUUUUGAGGGGCUGCUGCUCAAAGCUUCACGUGCCAGGGGAUGCUCCGUGCUCCCAGGCUAGGGAAUGCUCUGCUGUGCGCCGUGCACUCAGCAAGGUGCCCGCACGUGGAGGCAUCGCAAGCAGCCUGGGCUUGCUGGGGGCUGAUGCUGGGGUUUUCCCUCCUGGGACAUGCAGGGUGUUGGGUGGUGUUGGGUUGUACUGGUUUGCACUGGUUGUACUGGGUGCUCCUUGUCUUCAGCAGAUGAGGAAGGGCAGCAGCGAGGACGAUCCCUGCACACCAAGGGCCACGUCCCCAGGUCCUCAGCGUCCCCCUGGCCACCAAACCCAGGUGUGGGAGGGUGCCUGGUCCCCAUUUAGCUCCCACAGCAUCUCCAGCGAGGGGCCGCGCUCCCAGCAGGUCCCUACCACUCCCUUCCCCUGCCCUCAGCACCACAUCGGUGCCCUAAAGGCGCUGGAAAUAUUCAGAAUAACUGCACCUGCAGGUGGCUUUUUCCAGGUGAGGACACCCAGCUAA